rnacentral:misc_RNA from 1 species
GGAAGUAAAAGUAGUAACAAGGUUUCCGUAGGUGAACCUGCGGAAGGAUCAUUCAUAAUAAAGUGUUUUAUGGCACUUUUUAAAAAUCCAUAUCCACCUUGUGUGCAAUGUUAGAUCUCGUCAAUCUUGGCGAGAUUUUUAUACAUCAACUCAUUCUUUAACUAAUUUGUCUGAAAAAUAUUAUGAAUACUUAAUUCAAAAUACAACUUUCAACAACGGAUCUCUUGGCUCUC